UCAGACAUGGUGUAGUGCGAACACGGCCUCUCAUCUUGAAACCUGAACUCUGCUGGCUCUGCGGGGCAGCCCCGGGUUCAAUUCCCGGUGUCUGAA